rnacentral:misc_RNA from 1 species
AAGUCGUAACAAGGUUUCCGUAGGUGAACCUGCGGAAGGAUCAUUCAUAAUAAAAGUGUUUUAUGGCACUUUUAAAACAAUCCAUAUCCACCUUGUGUGCAAUGUUUUUUUAUUAUUAUUUAAACUCUUUAUUUUUAAUAUGUUUUGUCUGAAAUAUUUUUACGAAUUACUUAAUUCAAAAAUAUAACUUUCAACAACGGAUCUCUUGGCUCUC